AUGCAGGCUCUGGCUCGUUCGCUUUUCUUCUACCAGCGGUCGCCGCCGCCCUGGUCAAACCCCGUUGUCCGUGUUCAACCUCCACCAAGCGCCGCCGUCGUCUUCGACCAAGUGUCGUCGCCGUCAUCGUUCACAACCAAGGGUAGCCGCCGUCGUCGUCCUCGAUCAAGUGCCGCCGCCGUCGUCCUCGACCAAGGGUCGCCGCUGCCGUCCUCGACCAAGCGUCGCCGCCGUCGUCGUCCUCGACCAAGUGCCGUCGCCGUCGUCGUGCUCGACCAAGCGUCGCCGCCGCCGCCGUCCUCGACCAAGUGCCGUCGCCGUCGUCGUCCUUGA
rnacentral:rRNA from 1 species